UCUUGGGUGGGUGCAAAGGGUUAGCACAUUCAGCUGCUGAUCGAAAGGUUGGAGGUUCGAACCCUCCCGGAGAA
rnacentral:tRNA from 1 species